rnacentral:rRNA from 1 species
AAAUUGAAGAGUUUGAUCAUGGCUCAGAUUGAACGCUGGCGGCAGGCCUAACACAUGCAAGUCGAACGGUAACAGAAAGCAGCUUGCUGCUUUGCUGACGAGUGGCGGACGGGUGAGUAAUGUCUGGGAAACUGCCCGAUGGAGGGGGAUAACUACUGGA